GACGAACGCUGGCGGCGUGCUUAACACAUGCAAGUCGAACGGUGAAGCGCCUUCCUUUUUGGUGGGUGUGGAUGAGUGGCGAACGGGUGAGUAACACGUGAGUAACCUGCCCCCUUCUUCUGGAUAACCGCAUGAAAGUGUGGCUAAUACGGGAUAUUCUGGGUCUGUCGCAUGAUGGGUCUGGGAAAGAUAUUGUUUCGGUGGGGGAUGGGCUCGCGGCCUAUCAGCUUGUUGGUGGGGUGAUGGCCUACCAAGGCGGUGACGGGUAGCCGGCCUGGGAGGGUUGACGGUCACACUGGGACUGGGACACGGGCCAGACUCGUACGGGAGGCAGCAGUGGGGAAUAUUGCACAAUGGGCGGAAGCCUGAUGCAGCGACGCCGCGUGAGGGAUGGAGGCCUUCGGGUUGUGAACCUCUUUCGCCAGUGAAGCAGGCCUGCCUCGUUUGUGGGUGGGUUGACGGUAGCUGGAUAAGAAGCGCCGGCUAACUACGUG
rnacentral:rRNA from 1 species